rnacentral:tRNA from 1 species
GCUCCUUUGGCUCAGUUGGUAGAGCGGUCAGUCUCAUAAUCUGAAGGUCGCCAGUUCGAUCCUGGCAGGGGAGCA